GCUGGGCGUGGUGGCUUGUGCCUGUAAUCCCAGCUACUUGGGAGGCUGAGGCAGGAGAAUCACUCGAACCCAGGAGGCAGAGGCUGCAGUGAGCUGAGAUUGCACCACUGCACUCUAGCCUAGGCAACAGAGUGAGACUCUGUCUCCA
ensembl:misc_RNA Metazoa_SRP Metazoan signal recognition particle RNA